AACGAACGCUGGCGGCAUGCCCAACACAUGCAAGUCGAACGAGACCUUCGGGUCUAGUGGCGCACGGGUGCGUAACGCGUGGGAACCUGCCCUUAGGUUCGGAAUAACUCCCCGAAAGGGGUGCUAAUACCGGAUAAUGUCUUCGGACCAAAGAUUUAUCGCCUUUGGAUGGGCCCGCGUUGGAUUAGCUAGUUGGUAGGGUAAAAGCCUACCAAGGCGACGAUCCAUAGCUGGUCUGAGAGGAUGAUCAGCCACACUGGGACUGAGACACGGCCCAGACUCCUACGGGAAGCAGCAGUGGGGAAUAUUGGACAAUGGGCGAAAGCCUGAUCCAGCAAUGCCGCGUGAGUGAUGAAGGCCUUAGGGUUGUAAAGCUCUUUUACCCGGGAUGAUAAUGACAGUACCGGGAGAAUAAGCUCCGGCUAACUCCGUG
rnacentral:rRNA from 1 species